GACGAACGCUGGCGGCGUGCUUAACACAUGCAAGUCGAACGGAAAGGCCCUGCUUUUGUGGGGUGCUCGAGUGGCGAACGGGUGAGUAACACGUGAGUAACCUGCCCUUGACUUUGGGAUAACUUCAGGAAACUGGGGCUAAUACCAGAUAGGAGCUCCUGCUGCAUGGUGGGGGUUGGAAAGUUUCGGCGGUUGGGGAUGGACUCGCGGCUUAUCAGCUUGUUGGUGGGGUAGUGGCUUACCAAGGCUUUGACGGGUAGCCGGCUUGAGAGGGUGACCGGCCACAUUGGGACUGAGAUACGGCCCAGACUCCUACGGGAGGCAGCAGUGGGGAAUAUUGCACAAUGGGCGGAAGCCUGAUGCAGCAACGCCGCGUGCGGGAUGACGGCCUUCGGGUUGUAAACCGCUUUCGCCUGUGACGAAGCGUGAGUGACGGUAAUGGGUAAAGAAGCACCGGCUAACUACGUG
rnacentral:rRNA from 1 species